UACGGGGGCAAGCGUUGUUCGGAAUUACUGGGCGUAAAGGGCUCGUAGGCGGCCAACUAAGUCAGACGUGAAAUCCCUCGGCUUAACCGGGGAACUGCGUCUGAUACUGGAUGGCUUGAGUUUGGGAGAGGGAUGCGGAAUUCCAGGUGUAGCGGUGAAAUGCGUAGAUAUCGUAAGGAAGACCAGUGGCGAAGGCGGGUCGCUGGACAGUUCCUGACGCUGAGGCACGAAGGUCAGGGAGCAAACGGG
rnacentral:rRNA from 1 species